rnacentral:lncRNA from 1 species
GGCUCAGCCCUGGUGAGACAAAGUUCCAGGCAGAAAGAAGGGGUGAUGCAUGGGCUUGGUGAGAUUCAGGAAAUGAACGAAGGCCCAUGGGAUGGGGGCAGGGUGAGUGAGGGGGCUGGUGGCAGGAGAUUCGACUGGAUCAGAGAGGGAGGCAGGAGCCAGCGGGGUAAGUGUUCCUGGGCACUUCAGAGAAGUUGGUGUUGAGAGAUGAAGGCUUUCUGUGUGAGCUUUUGUGGUAGAGACACACCAUUGUUCACCAAAAUCCCCUGAUUCUUUUUUUUUUUUUUUCGGGCUGUCAGGAAUACUAUCUGCUGUGCCAUUGGGUGUGGCUGUGUGACAUAGUUAUAAAGCCAGAAUGGGAGCAGAAGUGAUGUCCCUACUGCCUGUCCUGGCCUGCAAAACGUGCCCACAAGUUCUCCUCUUCCUCCUUUCUUCGCAUCUGGUUAACUGAGAUGGGAACAAUCACAAGAGUGGUGAAAGCCUUGUGUUGAAGAUGGCAGAGUGGCCUCUAGUUUGGGUUCAUGAAUGACUUCAUGGGGCAGAACGCCCACCCCCAGCCUUACCACAGCCUUUCUGACCUGGAACCGCCUUGGAGUGCAACAUGUGAAGAAAAAUCAACACCCUGUUCUAACUGUGGAAAGCUGGUCAUUGCAGCACAGCCCAACUAAUACUGCCAGGAAGACCUUGGCAAUGAAACCUGAAGUCCUGUGGGUCACAGGGGAGAGAACAGGAUCUUUAGGAUUUCCCCGGCACCGAGAGCCUCCUGGUCUCUACCGACACCACCAGGCGCUGACCACAGCUUUCUCCGGAAAUGGUAAGUCCUUCACCCGGACUGCCCCCAGGUAGCCAGGCUGAACACCCAAGAACCCAGAGUUCCUGGCUCCUCCCACCACAUCCGGACUUGGAUGAAACGUCACACUGAUUCUUACUGCCAAAAGGGCCACUGACAACACCUAGCACUGUUGGGGAGUUAGCUUCCUGUGGACUGAAUCUUCACUAAUGGAAAACAGGAGAUGAGAGGGAGACUGGCAGACGAAUCCCCCUUCCUCCUCCCUGCCAUGGCUAUCAUGUCUCUCUGCAGCCCUUUCAGAGACGAACCAUAUGCCAGCCAGACAUGCUUGCUGAGUACCCUGCUGUGAUCUCUGAGGCUUGGCAUAAAGUGUCAGCCAGAAGGACAAUGCACCAUUUCACACAUCCUCAUAUUUCUUUGCUUUGCUUUUCCUUGUCUCAGCCUUGCUGCCUUUGUUUGCAUUUCCUAAAUGUAAUAGUUAAUUUUAUGUUUCAAUCUGUUUGGGCCAUGGUGUCCAGGCAUGGUAUCAAACAUUUUUCUGUGAAGAGAUAAAUUUAUAUAUUUGGGAGGCUAUUUUGGGGGUGAGAUUAACAUUUAAAUCAAUGGACUCUGAGGAAAGCAGACUCUUUCCCAUAAUAUGGGUGGGCUUCAUUCAACCAGCUGAAAGUCUGAACAGAAUAAAGGGCCGACUUCUUUUGAGCA